rnacentral:rRNA from 1 species
UACGUAGGGUGCGAGCGUUAAUCGGAAUUACUGGGCGUAAAGCGUGCGCAGGCGGUCCGUUGUGUCGGCGGUGAAAGCCCCGGGCUCAACCUGGGAAUGGCCGUUGAAACUGGCGAACUGGAGUGUGGCAGAGGGGGGUGGAAUUCCGCGUGUAGCAGUGAAAUGCGUAGAGAUGCGGAGGAACACCGAUGGCGAAGGCGGCCCCCUGGGCUGACACUGACGCUCAGGCACGAAAGCGUGGGGAGCAAACAGG